GGCGAAAGCCUGAUCCAGCAAUGCCGCGUGCAGGAUGAAGGCCCUCGGGUUGUAAACUGCUUUUGUACGGAACGAAAAGCCUGGGGCUAAUAUCCCCGGGUCAUGACGGUACCGUAAGAAUAAGCACCGGCUAACUACGUGCCAGCAGCCGCGGUAAUACGUAGGGUGCAAGCGUUAAUCGGAAUUACUGGGCGUAAAGCGUGCGCAGGCGGUUUUGUAAGACAGUGGUGAAAUCCCCGGGCUCAACCUGGGAACUGCCAUUGUGACUGCAAGGCUAGAGUGCGGCAGAGGGGGAUGGAAUUCCGCGUGUAGCAGUGAAAUGCGUAGAUAUGCGGAGGAACACCGAUGGCGAAGGCAAUCCCCUGGGCCUGCACUGACGCUCAUGCACGAAAGCGUGGGGAGCAAACAGGAUUAGAUACCCUGGUAGUCCACGCCCUAAACGAUGUCAACUGGUUGUUGGGUCUUAACUGACUCAGUAACGAAGCUAACGCGUGAAGUUGACCGCCUGGGGAG
rnacentral:rRNA from 1 species